rnacentral:pre_miRNA from 1 species
AAAUUUCAUCAUUUACUUCUCGGUUCUUACCAGGCAAGACAUGUUCAUCAUAUUUUUUGUAUUACAAAAAUACAUGCUGCCUGAUAAGAGCUGUGAACAAGUAUGAUUGAUCUUC